AGUGAACGCUGGCGGUAGGCCUAACACAUGCAAGUCGAACGGCAGCACAGUAAGAGCUUGCUCUUACGGGUGGCGAGUGGCGGACGGGUGAGGAAUACAUCGGAAUCUACUUUUUCGUGGGGGAUAACGUAGGGAAACUUACGCUAAUACCGCAUACGACCUACGGGUGGAAGCAGGGGAUCUUCGGACCUUGCGCGAUUGAAUGAGCCGAUGUCGGAUUAGCUAGUUGGCGGGGUAAAGGCCCACCAAGGCGACGAUCCGUAGCUGGUCUGAGAGGAUGAUCAGCCACACUGGAACUGAGACACGGUCCAGACUCCUACGGGAGGCAGCAGUGGGGAAUAUGAGACAAUGGGCGCAAGCCUGAUCCAGCCAGACCGCGUGGGUGAAGAAGGCCUUCGGGUUGUAAAGCCCUUUUGUUGGGAAAGAAAAGCAGCAGGUUAAUACCCCGCUGUUCUGACGGUACCCAAAGAAUAAGCACCGGCUAACUUCGUG
rnacentral:rRNA from 1 species